CAAUAGCGUAUAUUAAAGUUGUUGCAGUUAAAAAGCUCGUAGUUGGAUUUCUGGUUGGAGCGUGCGGUCCCGGGCGCAAGCCCGGCGUACUAGCGCGCCUCCGGCCACUUUUGCGGCGAACGUCUCUGGCAUUAAGUUGUCGGGUUCGGGAGCCGCAUCGUUUACUGUGAAAAAUUAGAGUGUUUAAAGCAGGCAAUCGCUGUGAAUACAUUAGCAUGGAAUAAUAAGAUAGGACCCUGGUGCUAUUUUGUUGGUUUGCACACCAAGGUAAUGAUUAACAGGGACAGUUGGGGGUAUUCGUAUUUAGAUGUCAGAGGUGAAAUUCUUGGAUUUUCGAAAGACGAACUUCUGCGAAAGCAUUUACCAAGGAUGUUUCAUUAAUCAAGAACGAAAGUUAGGGGAUCGAAGACGAUUAGAUACCGU
rnacentral:rRNA from 1 species